GUCACAGAGACGGGCGGAGCUUAUACAGACUUCAAACAAUUUCGUUGAUAAUGGUAAAUGCCCAUAAGCAAUUUUUCAUUUACUGUUUUCGUGGUUUAUGUGAUAAAAUAAGACUUUUCAGUUGAAUAUAUUGUUAAAGGAACGUACAUAUUUAAGAGGUUUCUAUUAGUUUUUCACCAGAUCCUUUUGUUGUUAAGAAAAUAAUGGCUUUUAAACAUAUCCUAAAACUUUCAGCAUCCGUGCCUUUAUAGAUGACACAACAAAAUUAUAAAAAGGGGUGAAAACGCGUUACAGUCCAGUCAUGUGAAGGAAAUGGACUUUGACUCUGAUUUGCAGGUAAUCAGAGGGGAAGUAUUUGCUAGUAUGAAAGACAAAAGCUAUAAGGUAUCUAUAGUGUUGGAAAAGAAUGGUGACAUUAAAGAAGCCACCCGCACUUUUCCCAGGGGUAUAAAAUGCCAUCACAUUGCGGCGUUGGCACUUUUUGGGCACAGAUAAAGCGGGUGCAUGUACCUAAACCAAAAGUUGGGCCAGUGAAAUCUGCAGAAGAGCUUUACCCACCAAAGUGGGGUACCAGAAGCAUCAAUCAACAUAUUGAAGGAAGGGCUACACAGCUUUGGAAAUACUGUUGUUUUUAUCUGGCUAUUGAACUAGGAAUCAAUAAAUUUGCUGGAAAAUGGAUUUUCGGUAAUUGAAGAAAUAAUUUCUUCCAAGGACUUUUUGAAGGCCACAGAUAAACUGACUGUGUUCAAAGAAAAAUGUGCUGUUGAUGAUCAGCUAAUAAAAUAAAUAUCUGUCACCCCUACUGAUCAGGUGUCAAAUGAAAAAUUGUACUUUGCAAGAAAAUAUAGAUUAACUGCUAGUAAUUUCAGUGCUAUUAUUGCAGCAUGCAGGAGAAACAGAUUCUCAGUGAGUUUGUUCAACAUACUCUUAGGUGAGUAAUAAAUCAUAAAUUUAUUACUUAGUUUAGUCAUAGAUGUUAUCAAUAAUUUGCUUAUUGAGCCUUAAAGAUUGAUUUUUCAAAAAUGGUAUUUUAUGUAGCAUUUCCUUACUUUAGUUUAAUUUGACAUAUGUUUUUUAUUAUAAUCAAUUCAUUAUUUUUCCUGGUGAAUACAAUUUGGAUGGUAUCAAAGCAAUCCAGAAAAAGAUGCUCUAGAUCAUUUGAAGCAGAUUUAUAAUUUAAAUGUUCGAGCAACUGGAGUAUGGCUUACAAAUUCAGGACUUCUUGGUGCUAGCCCUGAAGGAAUAAUUGAUGAAGAAGAAGCCAUUGUAGAAGUUAAAUACCCAUAUUAUUUCAGAAAUGAUAAGUUGUCUGAAAAAUUCAGGAAUUUUAAUAAAUAUAUAGUUUUUUAUGACGAUGAGGGUAACUUGAUCUUAAAUACAAGUCACAAUUAUUAUCACCAAAUUCAAUGAGCUUUUAAAUAUUUUAAAAAAGAAAUGUUACUUAUGUAUUUAUACCUUGAAGGAAACAGUUGUGACUAUUGUAGAGUUUGACUAUUCAUGGAAAGAAAACAUUUCACUCUUGGAAAAUUUCUAUAUAGAACUAUACUUACCAAAGUUGUUAGACAAGAUUUUUGGCAUGUUUUUCAAUGUGAUUUUAUGUUAUUCUACAGUGUUAGCAGAUAGAGUAUACAGUUGGAAAAAUCUUUACUAUUCAUUUUAGACUGAAAAGCCACUCUAUACAAAUUUUUGUUCAGGAAAUUAUGGUUUUCAAUAUAAAUGUACAUUGCCAUUUUCUCAAUAAAGAUUUUUGAAACAAAU